GCAGCGGAGCGUGUGGUUUAAUUCGAUGAUACACGAAGAACCUUACCAGGGUUUGACAUGCUAGUGGUAGGGAUCCGAAAGGUGACCGACCCUCGGGGAGCUAGCACAGGUGCUGCAUGGCUGUCGUCAGCUCGUGUCGUGAGAUGUUCGGUUAAGUCCGCUAACGAGCGCAACCCUUGCUGUGUGUUACAUGUGUCACACGGGACUGCCGGUCUUAAACCGGAGGAAGGUGGGGAUGACGUCAAGUCAGCAUGGCCUUUAUGUCCUGGGCUACACACACGCUACAAUGGCCGGUACAAUAGGUUGCGAAGCCGCGAGGCGGAGCCAAUCCUCAAAGCCGGCCUCAGUUCAGAUUGCAGGCUGCAACCCGCCUGCAUGAAGAUGGAGUUGCUAGUAACCGCAGGUCAGCUAUACUGCGGUGAAUACGUUCCCGGGGCUU
rnacentral:rRNA from 1 species